AGAACGACUAAGUUGCGGAAUAA
rnacentral:snRNA from 1 species